UGCCUCAGUAACGGCGAGUGAAGCGGCAACAGCUCAAAUUUGAAAUCUGGCCGUUCGGCGGUCCGAGUUGUAAUUUGUAGAGGAUGCUUCGGGUGCGGCGCCGGUCUAAGUUCCUUGGAACAGGACGUCAGAGAGGGUGAGAAUCCCGUAUGUGACCGGUGACCCAGCCCGUGUGAAGCUCCUUCGACGAGUCGAGUUGUUUGGGAAUGCAGCUCUAAAUGGGUGGUAAAUUUCAUCUAAAGCUAAAUACCGGCCAGAGACCGAUAGCGCACAAGUAGAGUGAUCGAAAGAUGAAAAGCACUUUGGAAAGAGAGUUAAAAAGUACGUGAAAUUGUUGAAAGGGAAGCGCUUGUGACCAGACUUGCUCGCGGGCGAUCAGCCGUCCUUCUGGGCGGUGCACUCGCCCGUGAUCAGGCCAGCAUCGGUUCGGGCGGCCGGAUAACGGCCCCGGGAAUGUGGCUCCCCUCGGGGAGUGUUAUAGCCCGGGGCGCAAUGCGGCCCGCCGGGACCGAGGACCGCGCUUCGGCUAGGAUGCUGGCGUAAUGGUCGUAAGCGACCCGUCUUGAAACACGGACCAAGGAGUCUAACAUCUGUGCGAGUGUUUGGGUGUCAAACCCAUGCGCGGAAUGAAAGUGAACGGAGGUGGGAACCCUUCAGGGUGCACCAUCGACCGAUCCUGAUGUCUUCGGAUGGAUUUGAGAAAGAGCAUAGCUGUUGGGACCCGAAAGAUGGUGAACUAUGCCUGAAUAGGGUGAAGCCAGAGGAAACUCUGGUGGAGGCUCGCAGCGGUCUGACGUGCAAAUCG
rnacentral:rRNA from 1 species